GAAAGUUACUGGUAUGAUAAUUGUGGUUAUAUUAUAUUACUAUUAUAUUUAGUGUAUUGCUAAUCAAUAUAUUGUUACUUCCCAGGUGACAGCGGCUCACUUCAAGAGCAGGUGAAGCAAGUUGGGACAAUGUUGAAGACAUUUGCUCGCACUGGGCAAUCAGGUGCAGAUCAAACCCUAAUGCUGCGACGUCUUGGGAGUUUGGCGAUGUUGUGUGUAGCAUGGACAACAAAAUGCUAUGCUGCAACGUUUCAGUGCCAAUGUGUCUGUUGGAGAGUUAUCCCUGACAGGGGAUCUGUUACUCCCCCCUAGACACCCAGGAACAUUUGGCGUUGCUUGACAACAGUUUGAGGCAGGAUAAAGAGCUCCAGCAACGAUUUCUUCGGUUUUUGGCAAUCAAAUGUGGGAGGGACCUAAAGACAACCGUGUGGC